AACGAACGCUGGCGGCAGGCCUAACACAUGCAAGUCGAACGAAGCCUUCGGGUUUAGUGGCGAACGGGUUAGUAACGCGUGGGAACGUGCCCUUCACUACGGAAUAGUCCUGGGAAACUGGGUUUAAUACCGUAUACGCCCUUCGGGGGAAAUAAUUUCGGUGAAGGAUCGGCCCGCGUUGGAUUAGGUAGUUGGUGGGGUAAUGGCCUACCAAGCCUACGAUCCAUAGCUGGUUUGAGAGGAUGAUCAGCAACACUGGGACUGGGACACGGCCCAGACUCCUACGGGAGGCAGCAGUGGGGAAUCUUAGACAAUGGGCGCAAGCCUGAUCUAACCAUGCCGCGUGAUUGAUGAAGGCCUUAGGGUUGUAAAGAUCUUUCAGCUGGGAAGAUAAUGACGGUACCAGCAGAAGAAGCCCCGGCUAACUCCGUGCCAGCCGCCGCAGUAACAC
rnacentral:rRNA from 1 species